AAUGUACUCCCUUCGUUCGAAAAUACUUGUCGGAGAAAUGCAUAAAAAUGAAUGUAUCUAGAACUAAAAUACAUCUAGAUGCAUCCAUUUUUCCGACAAGCAUUUCCGGACGGAGGGAGUAACAG
rfam:Triticum aestivum genome assembly, contig: Triticum_aestivum_CS42_TGACv1_scaffold_223213_3B